UCAAUAUGGAGAAGAUUAGCAUGCCCCUGUGCAAGGAUGACACACAGAUUCUUGAAGCAUUCCAUAUUUUU
rnacentral:snRNA from 1 species